rnacentral:tRNA from 1 species
GUCUUAAAGAGUUAUUCUCAAGUAUGGUUUCGGCCCAUAUUUCAACAACAUUUUGUUUUAAGAUU